rnacentral:rRNA from 1 species
AGUGGCGGACGGGUGAGUAACGCGUGGGUAACCUGCCUUAUACAGGGGGAUAACAGUCAGAAAUGACUGCUAAUACCGCAUAAGCGCACAGAGCUGCAUGGCUCAGUGUGAAAAACUCCGGUGGUAUAAGAUGGACCCGCGUUGGAUUAGCUAGUUGGUGAGGUAACGGCCCACCAAGGCGACGAUCCAUAGCCGGCCUGAGAGGGUGAACGGCCACAUUGGGACUGAGACACGGCCCAGACUCCUACGGGAGGCAGCAGUGGGGAAUAUUGCACAAUGGGGGAAACCCUGAUGCAGCGACGCCGCGUGGAGGAAGAAGGUCUUCGGAUUGUAAACUCCUGUUGUUGAGGAAGAUAAUGACGGUACUCAACAAGGAAGUGACGGCUAACUACGUGCCAGCAGCCGCGGUAAAACGUAGGUCACAAGCGUUGUCCGGAAUUACUGGGUGUAAAGGGAGCGCAGGCGGGAGAACAAGUUGGAAGUGAAAUCCAUGGGCUCAACCCAUGAACUGCUUUCAAAACUGUUUUUCUUGAGUAGUGCAGAGGUAGGCGGAAUUCCCCGGUGUAGCGGUGGAAUGCGUAGAUAUCGGGAGGAACACCAGUGGCGAAGGCGGCCUACUGGGCACCAACUGACGCUGAGGCUCGAAAGUGUGGGUAGCAAACAGGAUUAGAUACCCUGGUAGUCCACACCGUAAACGAUGAUUACUAGGUGUUGGAGGAUUGACCCCUUCAGUGCCGCAGUUAACACAAUAAGUAAUCCACCUGGGGAGUACGACCGCAAGGUUGAAACUCAAAGGAAUUGACGGGGGCCCGCACAAGCAGUGGAGUAUGUGGUUUAAUUCGACGCAACGCGAAGAACCUUACCAAGUCUUGACAUCCCUUGACGAUGCUGGAAACAGUAUUUCUCUUCGGAGCAAGGAGACAGGUGGUGCAUGGUUGUCGUCAGCUCGUGUCGUGAGAUGUUGGGUUAAGUCCCGCAACGAGCGCAACCCUUAUGGUCAGUUACUACGCAAGAGGACUCUGGCCAGACUGCCGUUGACAAAACGGAGGAAGGUGGGGAUGACGUCAAAUCAUCAUGCCCUUUAUGACUUGGGCUACACACGUACUACAAUGGCGUUAAACAAAGAGAAGCAAGACCGCGAGGUGGAGCAAAACUCAGAAACAACGUCCCAGUUCGGACUGCAGGCUGCAACUCGCCUGCACGAAGUCGGAAUUGCUAGUAAUCGUGGAUCAGCAUGCCACGGUGAAUACGUUCCCGGGCCUUGCACUCACCGCCCGUCA